rnacentral:SRP_RNA from 1 species
GCCAGGCAUGGUGGUGCAUGCCUGUAAUCCCAGCUACUCAGGAGGCUGAGGCAGGAGAAUCGCUUGAACCCAGAAGGCAGAGGUUGCAGUGAGCCGAGAUUGCGCCACUGCACUCCAGCCUGGGUGACAGAGCAAGACUCUGUCUCUA